rnacentral:rRNA from 1 species
UUUAAUUCGAUGCAACGCGAAAACCUUACCAACCUUUGACAUGUACGGAAUCCUUAGAGAUAGAGGAGUGCUCGAAAGAGAACCGUAACACAGGUGCUGCAUGGCUGUCGUCAGCUCGUGUCGUGAGAUGUUGGUUUAAGUCCCGCAACGAGCGCAACCCUUGUCAUUAGUUGCUACAUUCAGUUGGGCACUCUAAUGAGACUGCCGGUGACAAACCCGGAGGGAAAGGUGGGGAUGACGUCAAGUCCUCAUGGCCCUUAUGACCUGGGCUACACACGUGCUACAAUGGGCGGUACAAAGGGUCGCGAACCCGCGAGGGGGAGCCCAAUCCCAAAAAGCCGCUCUCAGUUCGGAUUGCAGGCUGCAACUCGCCUGCAUGAAGCCGGAAUCGCUAGUAAUCGCGGAUCAGCCAUGCCGCGGUCGAAUACGUUCCCGGGCCUU